UACGUAGGUGGCAAGCGAUACUCGGAAUCACUAGGCGUAAAGCGCAGGUAGGUGGUUUGGUAAGUCUUUUGUGAAAGCUCCCGGCUCAACUGGGAGAGGUCAAGGGAAACUGCCGGACUAGAGUUUGGUAGGGGAUACUGGAAUUCCUGGUGUAGCGGUGAAAUGCGUAGAUAUCAGGAGGAAUACCUAUGGCGAAAGCAGGUAUCUGGGCCAUAACUGACACUGAGCUGCGAAAGCUAGGGGAGCAAACAGG
rnacentral:rRNA from 1 species